rnacentral:sRNA from 1 species
GGCACAUGUUAAGUGAGCCAUAAAUAUUAGCUGGAAGCUGAAGACCCUCUGGGACUUCUCUUAGAACCUCCUAUUACUCUGCCCUGGGCCCCUCCUCUAGUUCCUGCUGUGCUCGGGGCUUUCCUCAAGCAGGAGCUGCAUGGGAAGGGACUGGCUUCUGCCAUGUUCAGGGUCCUGAGAUCACGGAUGAGCUCGUGCGAGUUCUGUGUCGGCGCCUGGAUGAGGCCACGCUGGACGUCAUCACAGUUAUGCUUGUUCGGAACUGCAAGCUGACACCAGCUGAUGUGGAGUUCAUCCAGCCCCCUGGAAGUCUCCCCUCAGAGGUGCUGCAUCUGGCCCUACCCACCUCCUGCAGGCCCUGGCUUCCAGCCCUGGCGUGGUACCUACGGCAGAACUUGCUCAUCUUCCUGCACUCUCCCAAGUACACAGAUAGCAACAGCCGGAACCACUUCCAACAUCCACUCCCACCACAGGGUGGCCUCCCUGACUUGGACAUCUACUUGUAUAACAAGCCUGGUGGACAGGGCACUGGGGGCAAAGGGGUUGCCUGCAUCACUCUAGCCUUUGUGGAUGA